AGUGAACGCUGGCGGUAGGCCUAACACAUGCAAGUCGAACGGCAGCACAGUAAGAGCUUGCUCUUACGGGUGGCGAGUGGCGGACGGGUGAGGAAUAAAUCGGAAUCUACUUUUUCGUGGGGGAUAACGUAGGGAAACUUACGCUAAUACCGCAUACGACCUACGGGUGAAAGCAGGGGAUCUUCGGACCUUGCGCGAUUGAAUGAGCCGAUGUCGGAUUAGCUAGUUGGCGGGGUAAAGGCCCACCAAGGCGACGAUCCGUAGCUGGUCUGAGAGGAUGAUCAGCCACACUGGAACGGAGACACGGUCCAGACUCCUACGGGAGGCAGCAGUGGGGAAUAUUGGACAAUGGGCGCAAGCCUGAUCCAGCCAUACCGCGUGGGUGAAGAAGGCCUUCGGGUUGUAAAGCCCUUUUGUUGGGAAAGAAAAGCAGCAGGCUAAUACCCCGCUGUUCUGACGGUACCCAAAGAAUAAGCACCGGCUAACUUCGUG
rnacentral:rRNA from 1 species